GGUCUUGUAGCUCAGUGGUAAAGGCUUUGGUUCGUAAGCACAGAUUGCAGGUUUAAUUCCUGGUAGGGCCG